AACAGGAUUAGAUACCCUGGUAGUCCACGCCGUAAACGAUGAGUGCUAGGUGUUAGGGGGGUCCAACCCCUUAGUGCUGAAGUCAACACAUUAAGCACUCCGCCUGGGGAGUACGACCGCAAGGUUGAAACUCAAAGGAAUUGACGGGGGCCCGCACAAGCAGUGGAGCAUGUGGUUUAAUUCGAAGCAACGCGAAGAACCUUACCAGGUCUUGACAUCCUCUGACAACCCUAGAGAUAGGGCUUUCCCCUUCGGGGGACAGAGUGACAGGUGGUGCAUGGUUGUCGUCAGCUCGUGUCGUGAGAUGUUGGGUUAAGUCCCGCAACGAGCGCAACCCUUGAUCUUAGUUGCCAGCAUUCAGUUGGGCACUCUAAGGUGACUGCCGGUGACAAACCGGAGGAAGGUGGGGAUGACGUCAAAUCAUCAUGCCCCUUAUGACCUGGGCUACACACGUGCUACAAUGGGUGGUACAAAGGGCUGCGAGACCGCGAGGUUAAGCGAAUCCCAUAAAGCCACUCCCAGUUCGGAUUGCAGGCUGCAACUCGCCUGCAUGAAGCCGGAAUUGCUAGUAAUCGCGGAUCAGCAUGCCGCGGUGAAUCCGUUCCCGGGCCUUGUACACACCGCCCGUCACACCACGAGAGUUUGUAACACCCGAAGUCGGUGAGGUAACCUUUUGGAGCCAGCCGCCGAAGGUGGGACAAAUAAUUGGGGUGAAGUCGUAACAAGGUAACC
rnacentral:rRNA from 1 species